CUGAACCAGCCAAGUAGCGUGAAGGAUGACUGCCCUAUGGGUUGUAAACUUCUUUUAUAUGGGAAUAAAGUAUUCCACGUGUGGGAUUUUGUAUGUACCAUAUGAAUAAGGAUCGGCUAACUCCGUGCCAGCAGCCGCGGUAAUACGGAGGAUCCGAGCGUUAUCCGGAUUUAUUGGGUUUAAAGGGAGCGUAGGUGGAUUGUUAAGUCAGUUGUGAAAGUUUGCGG
rnacentral:rRNA from 1 species